UUAAGCUAAGUCUAUGUGCUGCUUAUAUGAGUCUUUGUGCGUUACAUUAAUAAGUUUAGGAGGUGUAAGCUUAUAGGAUUUAGGACUUGGUAGUAAUGUAGCAUGAGUUAGGUUAUGUGAAGUUAGUUUAGCUCAGGUACACACCGC
rnacentral:rRNA from 1 species